GACGAACGCUGGCGGCGUGCUUAACACAUGCAAGUCGAGCGGAGCGGCGCACGGGUGAGUAACGCGUGAGUAACUUCCCCCCUCUCUGGGAUAACAGUUGGAAACGGCAGCCUAUACCGGAUAGUGGGGGAUGACUCGCGGCCUAUCAGCUUGUUGGUGGGGUAGUGGCCUACCAAGGCGACGCCGGGUAGCCGGCCUGAGAGGGCGACCGGCCACAUUGGGCUGAGGGAGGGCCCAAACUGUUACGUGGGGCAGCGGUGGGGAAUAUGGCACAGUGGGGCAAACCCUGAUGCGGAGACGCCGCGUGCGGAAGGACGGUCUUCGGGUUGUAAACCGCUUUCAGCCAUGACGCGUUAGUGGCAGAAGAAGCACCGGCUAACUACGUGCCAGCAGCCGCGGUAAUAC
rnacentral:rRNA from 1 species